UGGGGAAUUUUGGACAAUGGGGGAAACCCUGAUCCAGCCAUCCCGCGUGUGCGAUGAAGGCCUUCGGGUUGUAAAGCACUUUUGGCAGGAAAGAAACGUCAUGGGUUAAUACCCCGUGAAACUGACGGUACCUGCAGAAUAAGCACCGGCUAACUACGUGCCAGCAGCCGCGGUAAUACGUAGGGUGCAAGCGUUAAUCGGAAUUACUGGGCGUAAAGCGUGCGCAGGCGGUUCGAAAAGAAAGAUGUGAAAUCCCAAAGCUCAACUUUGGAACUGCAUUUUUAACUACCGGGCUAGAGUGUGUCAGAGGGAGGUGGAAUUCCGCGUGUAGCAGUGAAAUGCGUAGAUAUGCGGAGGAACACCGAUGGCGAAGGCAGCCUCCUGGGAUAACACUGACGCUCAUGCACGAAAGCGUGGGGAGCAAACAGG
rnacentral:rRNA from 1 species